CGUACACUCCUACGGGAGGCAGCAGUGGGGAAUAUUGGACAAUGGGCGCAAGCCUGAUCCAGCCAUGCCGCGUGAGUGAUGAAGGCCCUAGGGUUGUAAAGCUCUUUUGUGCGGGAAGAUAAUGACGGUACCGCAAGAAUAAGCCCCGGCUAACUUCGUGCCAGCAGCCGCGGUAAUACGAAGGGGGCUAGCGUUGCUCGGAAUCACUGGGCGUAAAGGGUGCGUAGGCGGGUCUUUAAGUCAGGGGUGAAAUCCUGGAGCUCAACUCCAGAACUGCCUUUGAUACUGAAGAUCUUGAGUUCGGGAGAGGUGGGUGGAACUGCGAGUGUAGAGGUGAAAUUCGUAGAUAUUCGCAAGAACACCAGUGGCGAAGGCGGCUCACUGGCCCGAUACUGACGCUGAGGCACGAAAGCGUGGGGAGCAAACAGGAUUAGAAACCCCAGUAGUCCCAU
rnacentral:rRNA from 1 species